CGUCGAUCUCAUCUCGACAACUAUAUCUCGACGACCACGUCCUUGAAGAUCUCACCUCGACGAUCAUAUCUCUGACAACCAUGUCACAAUGACUUCAUCGAUUUUCUUGUCUCAACCAAACUCGACUCCAACUCCCCUUUGGCGACGACCUAACACUGAUCUCCAAAAGAUGACAUGCUUUCACUGCUUUCCGACGCCGACGAACUACCACUGCUCUUCGACAAUGACAAGCUCACAAUACUCUUUGAUGACGACAUUCUCCAAGUUAACAAUCUCCUACUCAAAGACAUCAACACGAACGAUCGAAAGACAACCUCAAAACAUAUGGCCUCAAA
rnacentral:lncRNA from 1 species